ensembl:lncRNA
AUGCUGCGUAUAACUGAUAUUAACUAUAUGUCGCAGCGAUACCGUCUGGGCAGAACUAUUGUUCCAGCCACCAAAGAAAGAUUCGCAAAUAACUUGCCUGAUCUAUCUCAACUGCUAUGUGUACCCAAAAAUACACAUGAAUUAAACGAAAUUACUGACAACAUGGGCACUAUUUUCUCUAAUACAUUAGAAGCUGUUGCCCCGAUCAAAUUGAAAAAAGUUAGAGAAAAACGUACUGUACCAUGGUAUAACAGUAAUACUCACUCUGUCAAGAAAGUAACUCGUAGUCUUGAACGCAAAUGGAGAAAAACUAACUUAGAAGUUUUUAGAAUUGCAUGGAAAAACAGUAUGUCCAGCUAUAGACAGGCUCUAAAAACUGCUAGGGCAGAGCAUAUCCACAAACUCAUUGAAAAUAACCAAAACAAUCCAAGGUUUUUAUUUAGCACAGUGGCUAAGUUAACAAAUUACCAGACGCCACCUGAUUCAAAUAUUCCACCAACGUUAAAUAGUAAUGACUUUAUGAAUUUCUUCACUGAUAAAAUAGAUAACAUUAGAAAUACAAUAGCGAAUGUAGAUUCUACAGCGUCUAACACUUCAGUUUCAUCCAUCGCACCCAAAGAUAAACUGCAGUGCUUUACAACCAUAGGCCAGGAAGAGCUAAAUAAACUUAUCACUGUAUCUAAACCAACAACAUGUUUAUUAGAUCCUGUACCCACUAAAUUACUAAAAGAGCUGUUACCUGUAGCCGAAGAACCGCUUCUCAAUAUCAUUAACUCGUCGUUAUCUUUAGGUCACGUCCCAAAACCAUUCAAGCUGGCGGUUAUCAAGCCUCUUAUUAAGAAACCAAAACUAGAUCCUAGUGUACUGGCAAAUUAUAGGCCUAUUUCAAAUCUUCCAUUUAUGUCUAAAAUCUUAGAAAAAGUUGUGUCUGCUCAAUUGAGCACCUUCCUGCAUAAAAAUGAUCUGUAUGAAGAAUUUCAGUCAGGUUUUAGGCCCCACCAUAGCACAGAAACUGCACUUGUUAAAAUUACAAAUGACCUGCUCCUUGCGUCAGACCAAGGCUGCAUCUCAUUUCUAGUCUUACUUGAUCUUAGUGCUGCGUUCGACACCAUAGAUCAUGACAUACUCAGUUACAAAUUAUCAUUACUUACCUAUAAGGCCCUAAAUGGUUUAGCUCCUGCGUACCUAACUAGCCUUCUACCACGUUACAACCCAUCACGCACCCUAAGGUCAAAAAAACGCUGGACUUUUGGUCGUUCCUAG